rnacentral:snRNA from 1 species
UUGCUUCUGCAGCAAAUAUAUUAAAUUUGGAAUGAUACAGAUAAGAUUAGCUUGGCCCUUGCACAAAGAUUCAUACAAAUUCGUGAAGGAUUCCAUAUUUUU